rnacentral:rRNA from 1 species
UACGUAGGGUGCGAGCGUUAAUCGGAAUUACUGGGCGUAAAGCGUGCGCAGGCGGUUAUAUAAGACAGAUGUGAAAUCCCCGGGCUCAACCUGGGAACUGCAUCCAAAACUGCUGAGCUAGAGUACGGUAGAGGGUGGUGGAAUUUCCUGUGUAGCGGUGAAAUGCGUAGAUAUGCGGAGGAACACCAAUGGCGAAGGCAAUCCCCUGGGCCUGUACUGACGCUCAUGCACGAAAGCGUGGGGAGCAAACAGG